rnacentral:rRNA from 1 species
UACAGAGGUCUCAAGCGUUGUUCGGAUUCAUUGGGCGUAAAGGGUGCGUAGGUGGCGGGGCAAGUUUGGUGUGAAAUCCCGGGGCUCAACCCCGGAACUGCACUGAAUACUGCUUUGCUUGAGCACUGGAGAGGGAACUGGAAUUUACGGUGUAGCAGUGAAAUGCGUAGAUAUCGUAAGGAAGACCAGUGGCGAAGGCGAGUUCCUGGACAGUUGCUGACGCUGAGGCACGAAGGCUAGGGGAGCAAACGGG